UCUGGAGCUAAAUAUGAAUCAAGUUGUAGUAAUGUCAAUGUCUUGGGACCAACAUCAUCUUCUAGCCAGUCUACUCAUGUUGCAGGACAUACAGAUGAUAAUGACCAUUUCUUUGUUGCUUUUGGUAUGGCAUGUGAUAUUCUUAGUAUAUCAAUCAUUA